UCGGCAAGUGCGCAGGCGCGGCGUCCCUUCCGCUGGGCUACUGGCUGCUCUAGAGGAUUGAUUCGUGAUGCCCAGCUAUAAGGUUCAUAUCUUCUCCGCUGUGUAGUGUUUUCCGUGUAUGUGGACGUUCGUAAGAGUUAAAAAAGUAAAGCUUCGCUUCUCGUAGCAUCCGGCCCAAGAGUCCUCAAAGGAGGUAGAUCCAUCUUUAAUACAGAUCUUUUGAGGAGGGAAGAUCCAUCUGUAAUCUAGACCACACCUUCUGCUGACAACCUAUAAAAACGACAUGGAAGACAGAAGAUUCUUCUCUUUGCCUAUCAUUCUUGCUGGCAAGUUCACUCCUUCAUUGGCAUUAGCACUUACUUCUUUGAGAUUCCAGUGUAUGCUGAAUACCAGCUGAAACAUCCAGCCUCAUAGACUGAACAACUACUAUAUUCUUGCACCUCCUGUUGGUAGAUAGCCAUUGUAGAACUAGCUGCACCACAGCCUAUAGGCCUCUCUGUAAGUUCGGUUCCUCCUGAGAUUCUUUUUUUUGGGCCAUGCUGGGAGAGCCAUCGAUCAACUGACUGAGCAAAUAUUGGCUAUGCAUAUGAUUAUGACUUAAUCAGACUUCUCUGGCUUGGCCACUUACGAGAAUGGUGUCAUCAUUUUCUCCAUUUCAGU
rnacentral:lncRNA from 1 species